GGCGGACGGGUGAGUAACGCGCGGGUAACCUGCCCUGUACAGGGGGAGUAACAGCUGGAAACGGCUGCUAAUACCGCAUAAGCGCACGAGGAGACAUCUCCUUGUGUGAAAAACUCCGGUGGUACAGGAUGGGCCCGCGUCUGAUUAGCUGGUUGGCAGGGUAACGGCCUACCAAGGCAACGAUCAGUAGCCGGUCUGAGAGGAUGAACGGCCACAUUGGAACUGAGACACGGUCCAAACUCCUACGGGAGGCAGCAUG
rnacentral:rRNA from 1 species